rnacentral:rRNA from 1 species
GGGGCUUAAAGUCUUGUAAUUGGAAUGAUGGGAAUUUAAACCUCUUCCAGAGUAUCAAUUGGAGGGCAAGUCUGGUGCCAGCAGCCGCGGUAAUUCCAGCUCCAAUAGCGUAUAUUAAAAUUGUUGCAGUUAAAAAGCUCGUAGUUGAAUUUCUGCUGUAUUGCAUUUUCUCUUUUUAUAUGAGUUUUUGCAUUAUGGCUUAUUUCAGUAUUAAUUUUUUAUUAUUACUGAAUGUUUACUUUGAGAAAAUUAGAGUGCUCAAAGCAGGCUUUUGCCUUGAAUAGUUUAGCAUGGAAUAAUAAAGUAGGACUUUGGUUCUAUUUUGUUGGUUUUAGGUACCAAAGUAAUGGUUAAUAGGAACAGUUGGG